rnacentral:rRNA from 1 species
UACGAAGGGGACUAGCGUUGUUCGGAAUUACUGGGCGUAAAGCGCGCGCAGGCGGCUAUCCAAGUCAGUGGUGAAAGCCCGGAGCUCAACUCCGGAACUGCCAUUGAAACUGUUUAGCUUGAGGACGAGAGAGGUGAGUGGAAUUCCCAGUGUAGAGGUGAAAUUCGUAGAUAUUGGGAAGAACACCGGUGGCGAAGGCGGCUCACUGGCUCGUAUCUGACGCUCAGGCGCGAUAGCGUGGGGGAUCAAACAGG